rnacentral:rRNA from 1 species
UAGGGAAUCUUCGGCAAUGGGGGCAACCCUGACCGAGCAACGCCGCGUGAGUGAAGAAGGUUUUCGGAUCGUAAAGCUCUGUUGUAAGUCAAGAACGAGUGUGAGAGUGGAAAGUUCACACUGUGACGGUAGCUUACCAGAAAGGGACGGCUAACUACGUGCCAGCAGCCGCGGUAAUACGUAGGUCCCGAGCGUUGUCCGGAUUUAUUGGGCGUAAAGCGAGCGCAGGCGGUUUGAUAAGUCUGAAGUUAAAGGCUGUGGCUCAACCAUAGUUCGCUUUGGAAACUGUCAAACUUGAGUGCAGAAGGGGAGAGUGGAAUUCCAUGUGUAGCGGUGAAAUGCGUAGAUAUAUGGAGGAACACCGGUGGCGAAAGCGGCUCUCUGGUCUGUAACUGACGCUGAGGCUCGAAAGCGUGGGGAGCGAACAGGAUUAGAUACCCUGGUAGUCCAUGCCGUAACGAUGAGUGCUAGGUGUUGGAGGGUUUCCGCCCUUCAGUGCCGGAGCUAACGCAUUAAGCACUCCGCCUGGGGAGUACGACCGCAAGGU